CUAGAGAUGGAAUUGGUAGCUAGGGAACAGAGUUCCAAGCAAGAGGUGGUUUCAUAGUUAAUGGAAGGAAAUUUCCGCCCAUCCAGCUCUCAAUGUUGAACAGGCAAUCUAAUACUGCAACAGUAUUUGAGAAAACUGAUAGAGCCGAGUGUUGCUGUCAAUGGAAGCAAAGACUGGUGUGUAAUGUCGUCAAGGUACAGAAUGUCGUAGAAACAGGAGAUAAAAGAUUACUUCUACGAAAGCACCAGAGGUUGCAGUGCAAGGAAAGAGAAAGCAUUGCAGGUGAUUUUACUGCCAGGCGUAAGGACGGUGGCGGGUGCUGCUGCAAGAAAACCCUGUCACUGGAUGGUGUGAUCAACCCUGUCAAAGUUCGUGGAGACGGGACGAUUGACUAUUUACACGCCAGAUGAAGCAACACACCCCAAGGGGAAACCUCCACCACUAUAUCAGAAAGAUGUUAUUAUUGCGUUUAGGCACUGGUCUGCCCGAGGCGCCCAAUGAGGGCGAGUGGAGAGAGAGUCCCUGAAGGCGAGUGAAGCCGGUGGAUUAUUUACCAACUCGACGGGAGACUGUUUUACCUCCCCAGCGGCGCGACAACCCCACUUCGUCCUUUCCGCCACCUCCCCGAAGCCCGGCCAGCAGCGCGAUAACGCGGCGGUCUGUGUAAACAGCUGUGAGGUGAUGUGACGGAGGAGUCGCUGCCGGAGGGGGUGGGGACGGAGGGGGGAUAGCUCCAAACCAAUGUCGCAUUGUCUGGACACAACCAAAGGCUCCCCACCUCCCUAGACACAACCAAACCCCGCUCCGGGGACGAGGCGGGGCCACGAAGGUGGGCUAACACAGGCGAGCCAAAAUAAAAACAUCUUUUCGGAAAAAAACAGAAUGCCGGCCGCUCUGGUUAGGGACGGCGAUCUGUUGCAAGUUUCUCUCCCGUCGCCGAUCCCAGGCCCGGGGACUAUCCCAGAGAGACUUCCCCCAGGACCAGGAGAGGAGGAAACUCCGGCCUCAGAUCCUGCAUCAGAUUCACCGACAGACCGGGAGUGAGGGAUGGAGUUGGAAUGGAGCGAUUACUUACCUCAGGGAGAAAGAUGUUUCCAGAAAAGACGCAUCGCCAUUCAGAUCAGACCAGAUCGAAGGGCUGAUGAGGAAGGACACCACUUUGAUUGGGACAACACAUCCAUCCUAGGACAAGCCAAACAGAGACACGCAUGAGAAUUCCUAGAAGCAUGGCAUUCCAACCGGAACUCCAACAACAAACACAUUGACUUGGAGCCAAUCUACCAUCCCCUGAGAAAAGGAACAGGAAAUGACAUCACCAACACAGGAAAUGACAUAAUCAACCCCAGGAAACCUAACCAGAUAAAUAGAAAGCGGGACAUAACACCAGCGCUUCGUCGGAGGCUCACUGAUGAUGUUACCUAGAAUGGUGAUGAAACGUCUGAAAACUAACUUCCAGCUCAGCGAGCAAACUCACAUCCAGAAACUCAACCUGAGCUACAAAUCUUCUCAAAACUCGCUAACAGGAAGAAAUAUCAGGGACUUACGAGAAAGCCAUAGCAGUGAUCAUUCAGAAGAAAGCAAAAUGUCUGCGUUGCUGGAAAUCCAAAACAAACACAGAGGUUGCUGGAGAAACUCAGCAGAUCUGGCAGCAUCUACAGAGUGAAAAACAAAGAUUGUGUUUCCAGACCGUAUGAUUUCUUUGGAACUGAAAGGUGUUGGAAAAUGCUUUUUUUAUAUAUACGUUUGACAGAGGAGUUCACUCAGUGCAAAAGACAAAGGGGUUGUUAAUGGUGGAGAAAAAUAAAAAGAUAUAA